rnacentral:rRNA from 1 species
AGUGGACGCUGGCGGUAGGCCUAACACAUGCAAGUCGAACGGCAGCACAGUAAGAGCUUGCUCUUACGGGUGGCGAGUGGCGGACGGGUGAGGAAUACAUCGGAAUCUACUUUUUCGUGGGGGAUAACGUAGGGAAACUUACGCUAAUACCGCAUACGACCUACGGGUGAAAGCAGGGGAUCUUCGGACCUUGCGCGACUGAAUGAGCCGAUGUCGGAUUAGCUAGUUGGCGGGGUAAAGGCCCACCAAGGCGACGAUCCGUAGCUGGUCUGAGAGGAUGAUCAGCCACACUGGAACUGAGACACGGUCCAGACUCCUACGGGAGGCAGCAGUGGGGAAUAUUGGACAAUGGGCGCAAGCCUGAUCCAGCCAUACCGCGUGGGUGAAGAAGGCCUUCGGGUUGUAAAGCCCUUUUGUUGGGAAAGAAAAGCAGCAGGUUAAUACCCCGCUGUUCUGACGGUACCCAAAGAAUAAGCACCGGCUAACUUCGUG